rnacentral:rRNA from 1 species
UACAGAGGUCCCAAGCGUUGUUCGGAUUCACUGGGCGUAAAGGGUGCGUAGGUGGCCGGGUAAGUUCGGUGUGAAAGCUCGGAGCUUAACUCCGAAAUGGCAUUGAAUACUAUCCGGCUUGAGGUUCGGAGGGGAGACUGGAAUUCUCGGUGUAGCAGUGAAAUGCGUAGAUAUCGAGAGGAACACCAGUGGCGAAGGCGAGUCUCUGGACGAAUCCUGACACUGAGGCACGAAAGCUAGGGGAGCAAACAGG